rnacentral:rRNA from 1 species
UACGUAGGGUGCAAGCGUUAAUCGGAAUUACUGGGCGUAAAGCGUGCGCAGGCGGUUCUGUAAGUCUGUCGUGAAAUCCCCGGGCUCAACCUGGGAAUUGCGAUGGAGACUGCAAGGCUAGAAUCUGGCAGAGGGGGGUAGAAUUCCACGUGUAGCAGUGAAAUGCGUAGAGAUGUGGAGGAACACCGAUGGCGAAGGCAGCCCCCUGGGUCGAGAUUGACGCUCAUGCACGAAAGCGUGGGGAGCAAACAGG